UACGUAGGGGGCAAGCGUUGUCCGGAAUCAUUGGGCGUAAAGAGCGUGUAGGCGGCUUGGUAAGUCCGCUGUGAAAGUCCAGGGCUCAACCCUGGAAUGCCGGUGGAAACUGUCAAGCUUGAGUCCGGAAGAGGCGAGUGGAAUUCCUGGUGUAGCGGUGAAAUGCGCAGAUAUCAGGAGGAACACCAGUGGCGAAGGCGAUCAUCUGGGGUUGUUCUGACACUGAGGAGCGAAAGCUAGGGGAGCAAACGGG
rnacentral:rRNA from 1 species